GAUGAAGAACGUAGCGAAAUGCGAUAAGUAAUGUGAAUUGCAGAAUUCAGUGAAUCAUCGAAUCUUUGAACGCACAUUGCGCCCGCCAGUAUUCUGGCGGGCAUGCCUGUUCGAGCGUCAUUACAACCCUCAGGCCCCCGGGCCCGGCGUUGGGGAUCGGCGGAGCCCCCCGUGGGCACACGCCGUCCCCCAAAUGCAGUGGCGGUCCCGCCGCAGCUUCCAUCGCGUAGUAGCUAACACCUCGCGACUGGAGAGCGGCGCGGCCACGCCGUAAAACACCCAACUCUUCUGAAGUUGACCUCGAAUCAGGUAGGAAUACCCGCUGAACUUAAGCAUAUCAAUAAGCGGAGGA
rnacentral:misc_RNA from 1 species